rnacentral:rRNA from 1 species
UACAGAGGUCUCAAGCGUUGUUCGGAUUCAUUGGGCGUAAAGGGUGUGUAGGUGGCGCCGUAAGUCGGGUGUGAAAUCUCGGGGCUUAACUCCGAAACUGCAUUCGAUACUGCGGUGCUUGAGGACUGGAGAGGAGACUGGAAUUCAUGGUGUAGCAGUGAAAUGCGUAGAGAUCAUGAGGAAGACCAGUGGCGAAGGCGGCAUUCUGGACCAAUAUUGACGCUGAGGAGCGAAAGCCAGGGGAGCAAACGGG